rnacentral:misc_RNA from 1 species
AGGUAAACCUUGGUAGCACAAAUGGUUUUGAGGUGUGUGCAGGCUCCCUUGGUUCUGGUUUGAAUCUUGGGAAUGUUGGUUUGUAUUUCAAUUUUUUUUAAUGAAGGUUUGAAUUGGUUUACCCUCUUUGAACCGGACCAGGUUAACUGUCCGGUUCAAGAGGGUCAAUUUCGGUUCUCUAUAAGUGGGGUUUAAAUAUAAACCGGACUGGCCAUUGGUCUAGUUCCUGGUUAAACGGGUCCGACCAGCCGUGCUGGUCCAGUUUUAACAACUAGGUUACAAGCUUCUUCACCACCCAACAUUCAUCAGUGCAUUGCACAUCAGAUUUCGUAUGAAAUCUAUAAACCAUUUUGUUUUGAAAUCUCUCAUUUUUCUUUCUAUUUGAAAUCUCUCAUUUUUCUUUACCCAUAGCGAGCGAUUGAGUUCCUAUUGAAAAUAUAUUUGCGAGGGAGUCCCAUGCAAGAGCAGUCAGUGUGAUUCAUCCUGUGAUGAAAUGCUUUCCUUUGUGCUUACAGUCUAGUUCACAUAAUAAUCUUUUACCUUUAUUUGCUUGCUCAGGCUAAUAAAUCUGUACUUGUAUUAUUUUCACGGUGUAGCUGGUGCGGAAUAGAAGUUUUGCGAUCUCUAAAGUAGUGUACUUCCUUAGGCACAGAGCCAGUAGUCGUA